UCUCCGUUGGUGAACCAGCGGAGGGAUCAUUACCGAGUUUACAACUCCCAAAUCCCUGUGAACAUACCAUUUGUUGCCUCGGCGGUGCCUGCUUCGGCAGCCCGCCAGAGGACCCAAACCCUUGAUUUUAUGCAGUAUCUUCUGAGUAAAUGAUUAAAUAAAUCAAAACUUUCAACAACGGAUCUCUUGGUUCUG
rnacentral:misc_RNA from 1 species